GGUUAUUUUUUUAUUUCGAUAUUACCUCUAUUCCUCCUAUACUAUUAGUUCAACAGAAAAAAAGGACAUUAACAAAAAUGUAUGCUUUUUCCGGAGUCAGAUUGUGAGCUUAAAUGAACGGUGACCCCAUUUUUUUAUUUCAUUUUUCUUUUAAGUAUAUGAUAAAGUUCAUUUAUAAAAAAAUAUAGCGAAAUCCUAUAUUAGAAAAAAAAAUUGAUUUAUACCCAGGAGCCCCCUUAACUGAUUAUUUUGAUAA
rnacentral:lncRNA from 1 species